ensembl:lincRNA uncharacterized LOC102011096
CUGAGCCUGGUCACAGCUCUCCAGGCACCCCAGCUGGCCAGGCAGUGGGGAAGUGAUUGUGAUUUCAUGUCCUCCAGCCCCAGCUGGUGAAAAGGAAUCUUGGUACCUUGAGAAAUAAAUCACUUGGAGGCUCAAAAAAAGGGACAAUAUAUUCACAAAUCUCUUAGGAGAAUGCAGGGAGCCAAGAGAAGGGACAGAACUGAAAAGACCCUGCCCCGCUCAAAGGAGGGAGCCCAGAAUUGGCUCUGAGUCAAAACCCGAAGAAGGAAUCCAUGCGGAGAGAGUGAGUUGGAAGAGUGAGAAAAUAGCCCCAGUACCUCCUCCCCUACAGAACUUCCUUCAGACGUUGAUCAGAAAGCACUUAUACACUGUGCUGUACAGGACUUUGCAUCCUCUGCUCAACUCAGUAUCUCUUCAGGAGGCAGCAUGGCUCACAGGACAGAAGCAUCAAACAUCUGGUGGUUAAAUGAAUCCAUGAAUGAACAAAACACAAAGAGGAACUGCAAAGAAUGUGGAGCAAAUCCUUAAAAACUCAGGCCCCAGGUCAGUAACAGAAUAUGUGGGAAGUCUUUAAAAAUACCAGUGAGAGCAUUUGAAAGAGCACAGCUGAAAACCACUACUUUUCACACCAGGCUUCAUUCAGAGUUCAAGGCUGUACAUUUUUCUCCCACACAAAUUCAACAGAACACGAAACCACAAGAACUGAGUGUUUUCCAAGUCUGAACCACGGAGUAUGAACUUCAGAAACAAGCUUGAGGAGAAAUGUAUUUGAAAGUACUUCUCUGAAAACCUUUGCAACUCAGUUUCCUGGCUUCAAGGCCCUUGAAUACUUCCAGAUAUUUAACACAUACCAAGUCACCGGUGGCAUUCAAUAAAUAUUCAACAAUGUGAAUACUGUGGUCAAUUUUCUGAGGGGUCUAAGACUUGCUAGAAUUUUCCAGAUGAAUCAUUUCUGCUAUGCAGAUCCCACAUCAAGACCCGUUUCAUAUCUGCCUCCUUCGUCAUGAAAUCCACCAACGCUACCUGCCCGAUCCAGCUUCUGAAUGUCCUAACCCAUGGUCAUUUUUCUGUGUGAUGCAGCUCUGCUGGCAAUACGUGUCCUACAGAGAUUUCCACCAAGGCAGACCUGCUUUCCCAGCGUCCCUUUGGUCCUGAGAUCCUACAACACAACCUCCAGGGUGGAAUUCUCAUGGUUCUGAGAGCAGCCAGCUUCCAGGAAUAUUGCAUGGUGGCUUUUGCUAUUCUGCUUGAAAACAAGAAUCCUUUUUCCCCCAUUGCAU